GGUGGUGAGCCAUUGGAUAUGGGUAAAGGACUGUACCUGCAGACUAAAAAUAGGAGUAUUUUUACUCCUAAUACCGGUGAGUGGACUUGCAUUUCAAAACUUGUUUUGGUGAUAUAAUGUAUUUUUUAAACAUUUGAAUGGAUUAUCUAGCUUUUCAUAAAAACAAGUGCCUUGGGAAUAAGCUUUUAAUAGAUUGUCUUCAUGUUGUGACAUGUGACUAUUAUUGAUUCAUGCACUACCACAUUGUGUUGAUAUAUAUAUAUGAAUACAUUGUUGUGUAAUGAUAUUGACUCGGUUAUGUGCGAGUAGAGAGUGCGCAUAAGCCAAUGAUGACCCGGUUAUGUGCGAGUAGGGAGUGCGCAUAAGCCAAUGAUGACCCGAUUAUGUGCGAGUAGGGAGUGAGCAUAACCCUGUGAUGACUUAGCCAUGUGCGAGUAGGAGUGCGCAUGAGCUGGGAAUGAUGAUGAUGGGAUGGUUUGUAUGAUGAUGAUGAUGGGAUGGUGUGCAUGAUGAUGAUGGGUAUAUGGUUGUAAAUGCAAAUAUGUGAGCAUUUGAUUUGUUGAAAUUUGGGAGUUUACAUGUGUUACAUGUUGCUAUUGUUAUUUUAGCAGGAUGGCUUGUUUUAAGGGAAAAUGAGACUUUUUCCUUGAUGUUUUGAAACUCGCUGUAGCGAGAAACUCUCGGGUUUGAGGGCCUUCACCAGACCUGGUUCUCGCUGCAGCGAGAAUGAAGUUCGCUACAGCGAGAAACUUUCUGUCCAUUUUGCUAACUUGUGGGUUUUUGCCAUAUUUCCCAUUUCUUUGGUACCAUAGUUGAGCAUGGAUCUUUGUAAAGUGAUUUACUCAUGUAGGGUUUACAUGAGGGGUUUAAAAGAGCCAAAACAAUUGCAUUGUUUUGAGAAAAUGAAUGCAUCAUGAUUUCGUUAAACAUUCCUUAUGGUAUGCUUGUUCCCUUUCUUAUUCACUCACUGAGUUUAUGCUCACCGCUUUCAACUUCAUGUUUUCAGAUUACGAGGCAGCUGGUAACUAGGUCGAGGUACCUUUGUAGACUCGACUAUUGGUAGGUGUCUCGGCAUUUAGUAGCUGUACAUUCAUCAAGUUUCUCCGUUGGACAUCGAGUCUUCUUUUGUUAUGUAUAGACAAAUCUAAUGUGAAUUAUUAAGAUAUAUGUCGUAGACAGUGUAUAUACACUUGUUUGGUAUGCUGGUAUGAGGGGCAAUGUUCAAUAUUAUUUCGAUUCUAAGUUAUGAUAUAUGACGUAGCAGUUUAUGAUAGAAUGAUGAAUAUGUCAGAUUAAUAGGCUUGCUUGGGCUUAGUGGACUACGUCCAUUGGAUCCAGGCGCUGGUCAUUGCUCGAAAUUUGGGUUGUGACAUACAUAAUCUUAU
rnacentral:lncRNA from 1 species